rnacentral:tRNA from 1 species
UAUAUUUUGUUGUAUGAUGCAUGGAAAUUUUUGAUAUUUUCGGUAAUAGUUUAAUUCUAUUAAAUAUAA